GGCGUAAUCUAGGAGUUCGCUAUUGAAGCUCCCUUAGCCUUGGGUUGAGGUGAUUUCACUUUUGAAUCACUAAGUGGAGUGAUUUUGGAGUUCCAUUUUGAAGCUUCCUUCGCCCUGGUUGAGGUUAUUUUGCUCUUGAAUCACCGGACGGUGUGUUUUGGUUGGCCGAGUGGUUUGUGCGUAGGGUCAUGUCAUCGGCACUGAAUAGAAAAUAACAAUUCGAAAUUGAAUGGUCAAAAAAAUGUAGCCAAUUGAUAUCAAAAUAGUUUAGGUUAGGAAACUGGAUGGUCGUAUUAGGAUGCGUUUGAAGGCCAAAAAUGAGGAAUCCGUAUUAGGAUGCAUCACAGAUGAGCUAUAGGUGCUUUACUGCCUUGUGACCUGC
rnacentral:lncRNA from 1 species